UUAAGCCAUGCAAGUCGAACGAGUUUAGACUCGUGGCGUACGGCUCAGUAACACGUGGAUAAUCUACCCUUAGGACUGGGAUAACCCUGGGAAACUGGGGCUAAUACCGGAUAGGCAAUUAUUCCUGGAAUGGUUUUUUGUUUAAAUGUUUUUUCGCCUAAGGAUGAGUCUGCGGCCGAUUAGGUAGUUGGUUAGGUAAUGGCUUACCAAGCCGUUGAUCGGUACGGGUUGUGAGAGCAAGAGCCCGGAGAUGGAACCUGAGACAAGGUUCCAGGCCCUACGGGGUGCAGCAGGCGCGAAACCUCCGCAAUGUGAGAAAUCGCGACGGGGGGAUCCCAAGUGCCAUUCUUAACGGGAUGGCUUUUCAUUAGUGUAAAGAGCUUUUGGAAUAAGGGCUGGGCAAGACCGGUGCCAGCCGCCGCGGUAACACCGGCAGCUCUAGUGGUAGCAGUUUUUAUUGGGCCUAAAGCGUCCGUAGCCGGUUUAAUAAGUCUCUGGUGAAAUCCUGUAGCUUAACUGUGGGAAUUGCUGGAGAUACUAUUAGACUUGAGACCGGGAGAGGUUAGAGGUACUCCCAGGGUAGAGGUGAAAUUCUGUAAUCCUGGGAGGACCGCCUGUUGCGAAGGCGUCUAACUGGAACGGUUCUGACGGUGAGGGACGAAAGUUAGGGGCGCGAACCGGAUUAGAUACCCGGGUAGUCCUAACUGUAAACGAUGCGGACUUGGUGUUGGGGUGGCUUUGAGCUGUUCCAGUGCCGAAGGGAAGCUGUUAAGUCCGCCGCCUGGGAAGUACGGUCGCAAGACUGAAACUUAAAGGAAUUGGCGGGGGAGCACCACAACGCGUGGAGCCUGCGGUUUAAUUGGAUUCAACGCCGGACAUCUCACCAGAGGCGACAGCUGUAUGAUAGCCAGGCUGAUGACUUUGCUUGACUAGCUGAGAGGUGGUGCAUGGCC
rnacentral:rRNA from 1 species